AUCACAGUCAGACGGGCACAAAACUUCAACCAGCCGUUUCUCUGCCUGGAAGCGGCGAACAUGUAACCUGGAAGGGAGGGUGGAUGGGGACACAUUCCAUGAGUGACAUCUUACUAGAGGGUGGCCACGAACUUCAUCAUGUUCUGCAACUGUUAAUGACCACUGGCACUGGCCCUGCUGCUCUCUGAACUCCUCUCUAUGGAACUGUGCUCCUUCUCUGGGAAGAGUCCUUGAAGCUCUACUGAGAGUGAAACCUCUCCUUUCAGCUCAUGUCAAUCUUGGGAUUUUCCCAACAUGUUCAGAUUCUGGCUUGGAGGUGCUAUCUGUUGUUGACUUUGGACAUAAACGAAGCUGUUAUUUGCGUCUUUUGGUUUGUUAUGUUAACAAGCUUUUGGGACUUGUUCUUUAAGAUUCCCAACCCCUAUCGUAUGAUGAUAGGUGCUGGAACCAGACUGGUUGGGUUCAAAUUUUUGCUGUCGCUAACUGGCUUUGUGAACAUAUGUCAGUUACUGAAUCGCCCCAUGCCUCAGUUUUUAAAGUAUGUAAACAGGGAGUUCUUGUAGUACCCGUGGGUCUUAGUCAGUUGUUGCUAUAGAACAAACCACCCCCAAACUUAGUAACAUCAACAACAA
rnacentral:antisense_RNA from 1 species